rnacentral:rRNA from 1 species
GACGAACGCUGGCGGCGUGCUUAACACAUGCAAGUCGAACGCUGAAGCUUGGUGCUUGCACUGGGUGGAUGAGUGGCGAACGGGUGAGUAAUACGUGAGUAACCUGCCCUUGACUCUGGGAUAAGCCUGGGAAACUGGGUCUAAUACUGGAUACGACAUGCCACUGCAUGGUGGUGUGUGGAAAGGGUUUUACUGGUUUUGGAUGGGCUCACGGCCUAUCAGCUUGUUGGUGGGGUAAUGGCCUACCAAGGCGACGAUGGGUAGCCGGCCUGAGAGGGUGACCGGCCACACUGGGACUGAGACACGGCCCAGACUCCUACGGGAGGCAGCAGUGGGGAAUAUUGCACAAUGGGCGGAAGCCUGAUGCAGCGACGCCGCGUGAGGGAUGACGGCCUUCGGGUUGUAAACCUCUUUCAGCACGGAAGAAGCGAGAGUGACGGUACGUGCAGAAGAAGCGCCGGCUAACUACGUG